CGGCGGCGGCGGUGGAGGUGGUGGUGGCGGCAAUGGCGGCGGCGGCGGCGACGACGACGGCGGCGACGGCGACGACGGCGGCGGCGGUGGCGACAGCGACGACGACGAUCACGACGACAGACAGCGACGGACUAUGCGUCGUAAGAGAACCGGCUGUGCGGAACGGGACAAAUAUAUGCAGCACUGACGGAAGCCUCGAUGCAAUUUUGAGAAAAGGGUGAAAAGUCGCGGCAUACCACGAUGGAAUACUCAUCGUUUUUCACAAACCGGAUUCCAAGAGUCUACCACCGAAAAUGGCCGGCUCGCGUGCAUAUACAUGGAUAUACGUAGGAUUGUACCGGGGAAUCUCUCGAAUCGAGAAACAGACGUAACGCCACUGCCGCCGCGCGCGCGAACGAAGAGGAAGAAGAGCAGAUAGCGCGAGAAGGACGGCUAAAAACCCCCUCGAGGUUUCGACUCAGCAUCCCACGAUAUCUACAUCUAUUUUUGGCCACGGAUCGAAAGCGUGGGCGCCGAGAGACCGGCUCGUUGUUCCAGCAUCGUCCGAAAUAUUUCGAUGACGCAACGAACGACGAACGCGAGACCGGAUUACGUAUUCGCCAGUCGUGGAUGCACGCGCGUAAUCCCUCCUGCGAGCUUCGCCUUUCACAAGAGAGUACGCGAGCAUCGUGUUCAAGAACGUGGACCGCGGAUGAGGGCCUUCAUCUCGAAUGGUAUUCGAGUUCGAACGAACGACGAUGAGACGGGGGCUAGGCGGGCUGGGAUACGAGGGGUGAGGUGGGAGGGUAUUGCCGACUCUCCUCCAUUUAUCUGUCCGAUAUGAAAAAUAGCCUAUUACGAGGAACAAAGAGGCGAGCCGGAUCUUUACCUCUGAUCCUCCUCCUCCUCCUCCUCCUCCUCCUCCUUCUGCUGUCCUUUCGAGCUCGAGAAGAGAGCUAAGAAAUUUUACUUUGACACUGGAAUUCGCGAUG